rnacentral:rRNA from 1 species
AGUUUGAUCAUGGCUCAGAUUGAGCGCUAGCGGGAUGCCUUACACAUGCAAGUCGAACGGCAGCGCGGACUUCGGUCUGGCGGCGAGUGGCGAACGGGUGAGUAAUAUAUCGGAACGUGCCCAGUAGCGGGGGAUAACUACUCGAAAGAGUAGCUAAUACCGCAUACGCCCUACGGGGGAAANNNNNNNAUCGCAAGACCUCUCACUAUUGGAGCGGCCGAUAUCGGAUUAGCUAGUUGGUGGGGUAAAGGCCCACCAAGGCGACGAUCCGUAGCUGGUUUGAGAGGACGACCAGCCACACUGGGACUGAGACACGGCCCACACUCCUACGGGAGGCAGCAGUGGGGAAUUUUGGACAAUGGGGGAAACCCUGAUCCAGCCAUUCCCCGUGUGCGAUGAAGGCCUUCGGGUUGUAAAGCACUUUUGGCAGGGAAGAAAUCGCACAAAUUAAUACUUUGUGUGGAUGACGGUACCUGCAGAAUAAGCACCGGCUAACUACGUGCCAGCAGCCGCGGUAAAUACGUAGGGGGGCAAGCGUUAAUCGGAAUUACUGGGGCGGUAAAGCGUGGCGCAGGCGGUUCGGAAAAGAAAGGUGUGAAAUCCCAGGGCUUUAACCUUGGGAACUGCACUUUUAACUUCCCGAGCUAGAGUAUGUCAGAAGGGGGUGGGAAUUCCGCGUGUAGCAGUGAAAUGCGUAGAUAUGCGGAGGAACACCGAUGGCGAAGGCAGCCCCCCUGGGAUAAUACUGACGCUCAUGCACGAAAGCGUGGGGAGCAAACAGGAUUAGAUACCCUGGGAGUCCACGCCCUAAACAAUGUCAACUAACUGUUGGGGGCUUCGNCCUUAGUAGCGCAGCUUACGCGUGAGUUGACCGCCUGG